rnacentral:rRNA from 1 species
AGCAGCCGCGGUAAUUCCAGCUCCAAUAGCGUAUAUUAAAGUUGUUGCAGUUAAAAAGCUCGUAGUUGAAUUUCGGGAUUGGCGCAUCGGUCGUGCCUUACGGGGUAUGAACUGGUGCAGUCAAUUUCUCACCUUCUGGAGAACCGCGAUGUCCUUAAUUGGGUGCCGCGGGGAACCAGGACCUUUACUUUGAAAAAAUUAGAGUGUUUAAAGCAGGCAUUUUUGCUUGAAUACAUUAGCAUGGAAUAAUAAAAUAGGACGGCAUGGUUCUAUUUUGUUGGUUUCUAGGACCACCGUAAUGAUUAAUAGGGAUAGUUGGGGGCAUUAGUAUUCAAUUGUCAGAGGUGAAAUUCUUGGAUUUAUUGAAGACUAACUACUGCGAAAGCAUUUGCCAAGGAUGUUUUCGUUAAUCAAGAACGAAAGUUAGGGGAUCGAAGACGAUCAGAUACCGUCGUAGUCUUAACCAUAAACUAUGCCGACUAGGAAUCAGACGAUGUUAAUUUUUUAAUGACUCGUUUGG